rnacentral:rRNA from 1 species
CCUACGGGAGGCAGCAGUGAGGAAUAUUGGUCAAUGGACGAGAGUCUGAACCAGCCAAGUAGCGUGAAGGAUGACUGCCCUAUGGGUUGUAAACUUCUUUUAUAUGGGAAUAAAACGUUCCACGUGUGGGAUUUUGUAUGUACCAUCUGAAUAAGGAUCGGCUAACUCCGUGCCAGCAGCAGCGGUAAUACGGAGAAUCCGAGCGUUAUCCGGAUUUAUUGGGUGUAAAGGGAGCGUAGGUGGAUUGUUAAGUCAGUUGUGAAAGUUUGCCGCUCAACCGUAAAAUUGCAGUUGAAACUGGCAGUCUUGAGUACAGUAGAGGUGGGCGGAAUUCGUGGUGUAGCGGUGAAAUGCGUAGAUAUCACGAAGAACUCCGAUUGCGAAGGCAGUUCACUGGACUGCAACUGACACUGAGGCUCGAAAGUGUGGGUAUCAAACAGGAUUAGAUACCCCAGUAGUC